CCUACGGGAGGCAGCAGUCGGGAAUAUUGCGCAAUGGAGGAAACUCUGACGCAGUGACGCCGCGUGCAGGAAGAAGGUUUUCGGAUUGUAAACCUCUGUCAGCAGGGAAGAACGGUCACUGUGCUAAUCAGCAGUGAAUUGACGGUACCUGCAAAGGAAGCACCGGCUAACUCCGUGCCAGCAGCCGCGGUAAUACGGAGGGUGCGAGCGUUAAUCGGAAUUACUGGGCGUAAAGCGCUCGUAGGCGGUAUGUCAAGUCAAGGGGGAAAUCCCCGCGCUCACAGUGGGAACUGCCUUUGAAACUGGCAAACUGGAGUGUGUGAGAGGAUAGUGGAAUGCCAGGUGUAGGAGUGAAAUCCGUAGAUAUCUGGAGGAACAUCAGUGGCGAAGGCGACUAUCUGGCACAUAACUGACGCUGAGGAGCGAAAGCGUGGGUAGCAAACAGGAUUAGAUACCCGAGUAGUC
rnacentral:rRNA from 1 species